rnacentral:tRNA from 1 species
GCCAUUGUGGUCUAGCGGUUAGAACGCUGGCCUUGUAAUCCUGGGGUCUCGGGUUCGAUUCCCGGCGGUGCCC